CCGCGAGGUGGAGCUAAUCUCAUAAAACCGUUCUCAGUUCGGAUUGUAGGCUGCAACUCGCCUACAUGAAGCUGGAAUCGCUAGUAAUCGCGGAUCAGCAUGCCGCGGUGAAUACGUUCCCGGGCCUUGUACACACCGCCCGUCACACCACGAGAGUUUGUAACACCCGAAGUCGGUGGGGUAACCUUUUUGGAGCCAGCCGCCUAAGGUGGGACAGAUGAUUGGGGUGAAGUCGUAACAAGGUAGCCGUAUCGGAAGGUGCGGUUGGAU
rnacentral:rRNA from 1 species